UGGCUAGAUCUUUGGGAUUAUUUUUUUUUCCCCUUCUUUCCCUCUCUCUCUUUCUGGAGGGUGUGUGUUGUCCCCUCGAAGUGAAGGAAUUUUGCUCCAAAGCGAGCUGGGACCGAAGACUCUAGGCUAAGUUCUCUCUCUAUGUAGAUGGUGUCAGGGAGCGAAGCUACUGACCGAGCUGCUGUUACCAGUCUGGAAAUGCAUGGAGUCUAAAUACUGAGUCUUUGAAAUAAAUUACUGGUGACUGUGAGAUUUUUUUCCCA
rnacentral:lncRNA from 1 species